rnacentral:lncRNA from 1 species
CGGGCGGGCGCGGGCAGGGCCGCCCCGGGGGGUGUCGGCGCGGAGCCCCGGUAGUCGAAAGUCGCGUUUUAAGGACUGGCCUGAUAGAUUACUUUCUACUUAAAGAUCCGGCGGGAGGCGGGGCCACGUGACCGCGCGUGACGUCAGGGCCGCCGCGAGCCGGCCAAACUCAAGUUGGUCCGGGAAUUGUCAACAAAGGGGCGAGGGACGCGCCACUCCGCGUCGCCUGCGGGCCCCACGCGCCCUGGCCCGGCACGAGUGGACUGGGCACGGCCAGGAGGGCCCGAGCGCGUCCGCAGGACCCUGCGCCGUCUGCGCCCCGCACCCGUUCCCUCCCGGACGUGGACGGGCCGAGGACAGCCAGGUGCCAUCUCGGGCUCGGGGGGACAAACUUACCAGCCUCUUUUGUUUAUCGUUCCAGCUGCAGAGGACACGGGCGGCGCGAGGGGUCCCCUCGCUACGCCGAGUCCGGCUCUCCCGGGUAACCUGCGACGUGCGCCCUCCCGCCAGCCCCGCGUCCCCACCGGGCCCCGCUGCGUCCCCGCACGGUUUUCUAGAUAUCUGUGUUUUUUGCGCGCGGUCAUCGCAGCAUCACCUGGGAUUCCCGAAGAGCGCAGGGGACCCCAGGACCCAGCUCGGAGACCAGGACGCGCGUCCGGACCCCCUUGGCCAGCAUCAACGACGCCUCUUCCCACCGAGCACCCUUUCCCGGGCACACCAAAUCAGCAAGAAUUCCAGCUGCCUCCCGUGGGCCCGCCGGCUGCAAACCCAUCUAGACUUCCUCGGGCGAAACCCACUGGAGCUUCGAGCCGGCCGCCCAUCGCUCCCGCUGCAGAGGUUUUGGUUGCCACUGGCCAAACACCAAGUCCAAGCAAGGUCGGAGGAAAAAGAAAAACAGCUGAAAUUCGCAAAUUUCAAAACUCUUUUUGUCUAGUUUGGGGUGCCCACCCCGGGGUAGGUGCGGGCCCGCUUGGCCCUGGGCUGCGUCUCCGUGGAUGCUUUCACGUGUGCGCGCGAGGGUGGCGGCUCGGGCAGCCACGCCGCUCACUUUGAAGCCGUCCCCAGACGCACCUCGCCUGGGUCCCCGGAGAGGGGGUGGCGAACACCGCCCAGCUGCCGGUUCCAUUUGUUGCGCUUUUCUCCUUUGACACAAUAAAAGUCAAAUUAAUUGAUUCAUACCAUUAAUUACGGUUCGUAGCGUGAAAAGCAACGCUUCCCCUCGGUGAGAGAUCUAUUGUGCUCGUCUCAUGUUCAAUCAGUGCUGCCAUCUGAUGCCGGGUCGGCCCUGGCAGGAACUUUUCGCCUCGAUUAGCUGAAUGAUGAGUCGCGCAGGGCCCGCUGGCUGCGGCCCCGACGCCCCGCGUCGAUUUCCC